UGGGGCAUAGCUCAACAGGAUAGAGCGACUACCUCCUAAGUAGUAUAUCCCAGUUCGAGUCUGGGUGUUCCAACCA
rnacentral:tRNA from 1 species